AAAAAAAAAAAAAAAACUCCAUUCUACCAAUAUUCUUCCAUUGUUAUUUUUGCUAACGGGGGAAAUCAAGAGCUGACGAAGAAGAUGACGACUGAAAAUGUUCUGCCGCAAACCCUAAUCUUAAUUCUCCUACAACCUCAAAAUUUUCAGAUAAAAUGAUUCAUGGAGUUGAGCCCCUGCCACCCAAACCUGCAAGAGCUGCAAUUAAGAUAAAAUUUGCUGAAUUGUAAGAUAUUGAAAUUCCUGAACAUACUCUGCAACUUGACAAUUCUGAGAGGUGGUGAGUAAGAUCAAUGGUGGCGGCUGAUUAUCACCUGUAUGCUGUAGCUUCUCUCUCCGUGCUUGGCCAUGUCUGGGCCCUGAACUUCCGAUGCCAGAUGGUGGUGCUGGGGCUGAAGAUGGUGAAACUUUGAACUUUUUUUUUAGACGCAGAAACUUUGAACUUUAGUUAUGACUGGUGAAGUUUGUUUUCAUUCCCCUGUUGAACCAAAUAUAAAACUUACAGAAUUUAAAGCUCAAUUCUCAUUAUUUCCCUUUCUUCUUUCUUGAUUAA